UCUCCGGAUUGGCUUUGGGGAGCCGGCAACGGUACCCUAUUGCUGAGAAGCUGAUCAAACUUGGUCAUUUAGAGGAAGUAAAAGUCGUAACGAGGUUUCCGUAGGUGAACCUGCGGAAGGAUCAUUAUUGAAUAAACUUGAUGGGUUGUCGCUGGCUCUUAGGAGCAUGUGCACACUCGUCAUCUUUAUCUCAUCCACCUGUGCACCUUUUGUAGACAUUGGAGAUGACAAGCGUGAAAAUGUCGAGGAUCCCUCGGAAAGAGGUCUGCGAAACGCUGACCUUGAUGCUCGCGCAAGUCCCUCUGAGUCUAUGUUUUCAUAUACCACGUAGAAUGUCUUAGAAUGUAUUCACUAGGCCUCAGUGCCUAUAAACACAAUACAACUUUCAGCAACGGAUCUCUUGGCUCUCGCAUCGAUGAAGAACGCAGCGAAAUGCGAUAAGUAAUGUGAAUUGCAGAAUUCAGUGAAUCAUCGAAUCUUUGGACGCACCUUGCGCUCCUUGGUAUUCCGAGGAGCAUGCCUGUUUGAGUGUCAUUUAAUUCUCAACCCCUUCCAGCUUUGUCUGGUUUGGUGGCUUGGAUGUGGGGGAUAUAUCUUGCGGGCCUCUCUAGAGGUCGGCUCCCCUGAAAUGCAUUAGCGGAACCGUUUGCGAAUCCGUCACUGGUGUGAUAAUUAUCUACGCCAAAGAUGAUCGUUCUCAGUAGCUCUGCUUCUAAUUGUCCCUCCGUCGGACAACGAUAUAUGAACACUUGACCUCAAAUCAGGUAGGACUACCCGCUGAACUUAAGCAUAUCAAUAAGCGGAGGAAAAGAAACUAACAAGGAUUCCCCUAGUAACUGCGAGUGAAGCGGGAAGAGCUCAAAUUUAAAAUCUGGCGGUCUUUGACCGUCCGAGUUGUAAUCUAGAGAAGCGUCACCCGCGCUGGACCGUGUACAAGUCUCCUGGAAUGG
rnacentral:rRNA from 1 species